rnacentral:rRNA from 1 species
UACGGAGGGUGCAAGCGUUAUCCGGAUUCACUGGGUUUAAAGGGUGUGUAGGCGGGCUGUUAAGUCAGUGGUGAAAUCUCCGGGCUCAACCCGGAAACUGCCAUUGAUACUAUCAGUCUUGAAUACUGUUGAGGUAGGCGGAAUAAGUCAUGUAGCGGUGAAAUGCAUAGAUAUGACUUAGAACACCAAUUGCGAAGGCAGCUUACUAAACAGUUAUUGACGCUGAGGCACGAAAGCGUGGGGAUCAAACAGG